UAACAUACUGUGUGUACAUGUAGAUAUAUGAUGCUAUUGUAAUUCAUCCUUGUGAGCCAGGAGUAACUGAAUGGAUCAAUGUCUAUAACCUAAAACGGUGCGUCUUGUAGUGACGGACCAGUUUCUGAUCUUUGUUGGACGGGACAGGGUCACCACUCCCUUGUAUAUCAGGAUUUGUGUAUUUUAAUGGGAUUAAUGGAUAUAUACCGUAAAGUACAAGUAUUACCAACUUAAUUUGAACACUUUUAGGUGCGUCUUGUACUAACGAACCAGUUCCUGAUCUUUGUUGGACGGGACAGGGUCACCACUCCCUUGUAUAUCAGGAUUUGUGUAUUUUAAAGUCAUUUAUUGAUAUUUUCGGUGCGUCUUGUUGUCACGGAUGCUUGUGUUAAAAUUGGCUACAGGCAAGGACAACCUCAGCCUAACAUGUGUUAAUCAUUUGAUUGUUGACUGUUGAGUUGGGGGACUACUGUUUGUUAUCCAUUGUACCUGUUGAAUGGACACAAUGCAGUAUCAACUCGGUUGCAAUGGAAGUUGAUGUUCUCGUUUUCCUGGUGUAUGGCAGCUUAAGUGAAGCAUGGAUUUCAACAAAUAAGCGAGUAGGAAACUUGCCAUUAUUGAUUCUACCAGAUAGCACUGCUAUUUUUCCAUUACUAAAUGCAGUUUUGUUUUUAUUGAUAAUUCUAUUUAUUGUAGCUUUUGCGAGCAAGUGACAGCAUUAA